rnacentral:rRNA from 1 species
CUUGCUUCUAUGACGUUAGCGGCGGACGGGUGAGUAACACGUGGGCAACCUGCCUGUAAGACUGGGAUAACUUCGGGAAACCGAAGCUAAUACCGGAUAGGAUCUUCUCCUUCAUGGGAGAUGAUUGAAAGAUGGUUUCGGCUAUCACUUACAGAUGGGCCCGCGGUGCAUUAGCUAGUUGGUGAGGUAACGGCUCACCAAGGCAACGAUGCAUAGCCGACCUGAGAGGGUGAUCGGCCACACUGGGACUGAGACACGGCCCAGACUCCUACGGGAGGCAGCAGUAGGGAAUCUUCCGCAAUGGACGAAAGUCUGACGGAGCAACGCCGCGUGAGUGAUGAAGGCUUUCGGGUCGUAAAACUCUGUUGUUAGGGAAGAACAAGUACGAGAGUAACUGCUCGUACCUUGACGGUACCUAACCAGAAAGCCACGGCUAACUACGUGCCAGCAGCCGCGGUAAUACGUAGGUGGCAAGCGUUAUCCGGAAUUAUUGGGCGUAAAGCGCGCGCAGGCGGUUUCUUAAGUCUGAUGUGAAAGCCCACGGCUCAACCGUGGAGGGUCAUUGGAAACUGGGGAACUUGAGUGCAGAAGAGAAAAGCGGAAUUCCACGUGUAGCGGUGAAAUGCGUAGAGAUGUGGAGGAACACCAGUGGCGAAAGCGGCUUUUUUGGUCUGUAACUGACGCU